GAAACCGGUGUCAGUACUGCAGACUGCAGCGCUGCAUGGCCCUCGGCAUGAAACAAGACUCUGUUCAGUGUGAGAGGAAACCGGUGGAGGUGUCGAGAGAGAAGCCAGCAAACUGUGCACCCUCCAUCGAAAAGAUCUACAUCCGUAAAAACCUCUGCAGUCCUCUCGCUGCCAUGCCAACAUUUGUUAGUGAAAAAGAGACUACCAGGUCCACCAGUUUACUGGACUCA